rnacentral:rRNA from 1 species
AUUGAACGCUGGCGGCAGGCCUAACACAUGCAAGUCGAGCGGAUGAAGGGAGCUUGCUCCUGGAUUCAGCGGCGGACGGGUGAGUAAUGCCUAGGAAUCUGCCUGGUAGUGGGGGAUAACGUCCGGAAACGGGCGCUACUACCGCAUACGUCCAGCGGCAGCAAGAUGGGGGUCUUCGGAACUCUCGCUCUCAGAUGAGCCUAGGUGGGAGUAGCUAGCUGGUGGGGUAAAGGCCUACCAAGGCGACUAUCCGUUACUGGUCUGAGUGAAUGGUAAGUCACACUGGAGGGUGAACAGGGUCCAUGGGACUGAGGGAGGCAGCAGUGGGCAAUAUGAGACAGUGGUCGGGAGCAUUAUCCAGUCAGGCGAAGUGUGUGAAGAAGGUGUUCGGAGUGUAAAGCACUUUAAGUUGUGAGGAAGGGCAGUAAGUUAAUACCUUGCUGUUUUGACGUUACCAACAGAAUAAGCACCGGCUAACUACGUG